rnacentral:rRNA from 1 species
CCUACGGGAGGCAGCAGUGAGGAAUAUUGGUCAAUGGGCGGAAGCCUGACCCAGCAACGCCGCGUGAAGGAAGAAGGCUUUCGGGUUGUAAACUUCUUUUCUCAGGGACGAAGAAAGUGACGGUACCUGAGGAAUAAGCCACGGCUAACUACGUGCCAGCAGCCGCGGUAAUACGUAGGUGGCAAGCGUUAUCCGGAUUUAUUGGGUGUAAAGGGCGUGUAGGCGGGAGCGCAAGUCAGAUGUGAAAACUCAGGGCUCAACCCUGAGCCUGCAUUUGAAACUGUGUUUCUUGAGUACUGGAGAGGCAGACGGAAUUCCUAGUGUAGCGGUGAAAUGCGUAGAUAUUAGGAGGAACACCAGUGGCGAAGGCGGUCUGCUGGACAGCAACUGACGCUGAGGCGCGAAAGCGUGGGGAGCAAACAGGAUUAGAUACCCUGGUAGUC